rnacentral:misc_RNA from 1 species
GAACUGCGAUAAGUAAUGUGAAUUGCAGAAUUCAGUGAAUCAUCGAGUCUUUGAACGCACAUUGCGCCCCCUGGCAUUCCGGGGGGCAUGCCUGUCCGAGCGUCAUUGCUACCCUUCAAGCCCGGCUUGUGUGUUGGGUCGUCGUCCCCUCCGGGGGACGGGCCCGAAAGGCAGCGGCGGCACCGCGUCCGGUCCUCGAGCGUAUGGGGCUUUGUCACCCGCUCGAUAAGGACCGGCCGGGCGCCAGCCGGCGUCUCCAACCUUUUUUUCUCAGGUUGACCUCGGAUCAGGUAGGGAUACCCGCUGAACUUAAGC